GCCCGGGUGGUGGAAUUGGUAGACACACUACUUUGAGGGGGUAGCGCCGGUUACGGCGUGCAAGUUCGACUCUUGUCCCGGGCA
rnacentral:tRNA from 1 species